AGAGUCCCCCUCCCCUCCACAGAGGAACACAGAGUCCUCAUGUCACCUCCACAGGGCAGCACAGAGUACUUCUUGAGCAGCGGUGACAAGAUUCGAUUCUUCUUUGAGAAAGGAGUUUUUGACAAGAAAGGAAAUUUCUUGGUCCCUCCAGAGAAAUCUAUCAACAAAAUUGGCCAUGCUCUGCAUGCCCAUGACCCUGUCUUCAGAGGUGUGACACACUCUCCCAAGUUGCAGGUGAGUGGGGGCUGGAGGUGAGGAUUGGAGAAUGUGAAGGAGAAAUGUGUGUGAACAGGCCGGCAGUGUGCGUGUAUGUGUAAACAGGCCAGCAGUGUACGUGUGUGAACAGGCUAUGUGUGUGAAGAGGCCAGCAAUGUGCUUGUGUGUAUGUGUGUAAACAGGCUGGCAGUGUGCAUGUAUGAACAGGCUGUGUGUGUGUGUGUGUGAACAGGUCAUGUGUGUGCAUGUGUAAAUAGGCUGUGUGUGUGAACAGGCUAGCAGUGUAUAUGUGUAAACAGGCUAGCAGUGUGUGUAUGUGUGCCCUUGUGUGAACAGGCCAGCAGUGUAUGUGUAUGAACAGAUCAGCAGUGUUUAUGGGUGAACAGGCCCUGACAGUGUGUGUGAAUAGGCCGUGU